CGCGUAGGCGGUCUUGUCGGUCAGAUGUGAAAGCCCAGGGCUCAACCCUGGACGUGCAUUCGAAACAGCAAGACUUGAGUACGGGAGAGGAAAGCGGAAUUCCUGGUGUAGAGGUGAAAUUCGUAGAUAUCAGGAGGAACACCGAUGGCGAAGGCAGCUUUCUGGACCGAUACUGACGCUGAGGCGCGAAGGCGUGGGUAGCGAACAGGAUUAGAUACCCUGGUAGUCC
rnacentral:rRNA from 1 species